UCAUAUGGGGGCGCUGUGCUGUUUAAACAUGAGGGAAACCUGAUCAAAUAUUUUACUACAACAGACACGCAAGUACAAAUCAGCACAAUAGACAUUCAGAUGUUCAACAUGAUCAGAGCUGCCAGUAUUAUAUGGGUUUUAAUGAUAUGUCCUGGAGGUUUUUCUCAGAGUAAUCGUGUUAAACAGAAUCCUCCUGAUCUCUUUGGCAACCAUCAAAACUCUGUUAAAAUCCAGUGUGAGCACAGUGUACCAAGUUAUGAUCAAAUCUAUUGGUACAGACAAGACCAGGGACUGACCUUUAUUGGAUACCAGUGGGGAAAAUCUUCAACACAAAUUGGAAAUUAUUUUAAGACUAAAGUGGAGAUUGUUGGGGAUGGAAACAAAAACGUCUCUUUGACCAUCAAAAAUCUUUUAUCCAAUGACAGUACAGUGUACUUCUGUGCUGCUUAUUACACAGUGCUGCAUAUCUGCUUUAUUCAGUACAAAAACCUCUGUGUAAAUAUUCUCAGUAUCACAUUAACACCUGCUCCUGUGGCCUGGAAUUGACACAUUGCCAGUGUUUUUAACAGAAAAGCCACACAUCUAAUCUAAUUUAAGAAUUAAUCUUUUCUUACAGAAAGGCCUUUUGUAGUUAACAAUGUUUAUCAGACUCCUAGCUGUUUUAAUCAAGAAUAUACAGAACUCUACAAACCUUUCCUGUUUUCACUCCAUACCUGACCAUCAGGUGAUGCUGUGGUACAAACGAUCAAAAAACACACAAUUACAGCUUUCUGGAUAUCUAAAUACACAUUUUCCAUUUCCUGAAGACCUUCGAGAUCCAUGACCUCCUUCAGAGCAGCUCUAGGCAAGCUACAUAUGUACCU